rnacentral:rRNA from 1 species
UGCGUAUGGUGCAAGCGUUAUCCGGAUUUACUGGGUGUAAAGGGAGCGCAGGCGGCACGGCAAGCCUGAUGUGAAAGCCCGCGGCCCAACCGCGGGACUGCAUUGGGAACUACCGGGCUGGAGUGCCGGAGAGGUAGGCGGAAUUCCUAGUGUGGCGGUGAAAUGCGUAGAUAUUAGGAGGAACACCAGUGGCGAAGGCGGCCUACUGGACGGUGACUGACGCUGAGGCUCGAAAGCGUGGGGAGCAAACAGG